GACGUAGGAGGCAAGCGUUAUCCGGAUUUACUGGGCGUAAAGCGCACGCAGGCGGCUGCGUAAGUCGGACGUGAAAGCUCCCGGCUCAACUGGGAGAGGUCGUUCGAAACUGCGCGGCUUGAGGUUGGAAGAGGAGAGCGGAAUUCCCGGUGUAGUGGUGGAAUGCGUAGAUAUCGGGAGGAACACCAGUGGCGAAAGCGGCUCUCUGGUCCACACCUGACGCUCAGGUGCGAAAGCGUGGGUAGCGAACGGG
rnacentral:rRNA from 1 species